rnacentral:tRNA from 1 species
UGUAAGCCAGGUUGGUUUCUAUCUUUAAAUAAAAAUUAUAUUUUAGUACGAAAGGACCAAAUAUAUAAAUAAAAUUUUUAUUUUGAUAAAUAUUAUUAUUUUGGCAGAUUAGUGCAAUAGAUUUAGAAUCUUUAAAUAUAAUUUAUAAUUAUAAAUAA